rnacentral:rRNA from 1 species
UACGGAGGAUCCAAGCGUUAUCCGGAUUUAUUGGGUUUAAAGGGUGCGUAGGCGGCCCUGUAAGCCAGUGGUGAAAUACUCUAGCUUAACUAGAGGGGUGCCAAUGAUACUGCAGGGCUUGAGUACAGAUGAGGUAGGCGGAAUUGACGGUGUAGCGGUGAAAUGCAUAGAUAUCGUCAAGAACACCAGUGGCGAAGGCGACUCGCUGGACAAGUAUUGACGCUGAGGUGCGAAAGCGUGGGAGCAAACAGG